rnacentral:lncRNA from 1 species
AGAGGGAAGGUUUAUGUCAAAAGUUUUGUAGGUUGGCCAGAAUCCUGUUGUCAAGACAGUGACAGCCAAGUCUACCCCAGGAUUUGACUCCGGAUGAUCAGCUACGAACUCUUCAAACUUAGUUUGAUGAUCUCUUGCAACAGCAAGGUCGGUAACCAUGCCCUCCAUUUUUGAAGUGAACUGCCCACCGCACUGCUGCUUGAGCUUUGUCAGGAUGCUUCUUUCAUGUUCAUCAUUGGCGCUCUUGUCAAAAAGCAAUCUUCUUGCAAGCUUCUUCCUAUAAAACAGAUCGAGCAUUUCAACAUAUAUGCAAAGCUCCAAAUGAUGACCAACUAUUCGGAUGCUGAGGUUAAAUAGGCAAAAAUAUCCCAAAAAAGGCUUAAAAGUAGUUACCUGUAGAACUCGGCAAAGAGAUCUUUAUCACUAACAUACGCAAGCAACCGAACCACCUGAAAGUUAUUCACUGACAAACUUGAGUUCCUUACUCUAAGUUUAUGACAUUAGCAAAUGUGAAGGCAGUUGUACCUUCUCAAGAGCAUCCUCAAUGGCUUCAUCGCUGAGCUUCUCACUGCAGCCUUUCUUCAAAAUGUUGUCACAGAAGGUGGCAAGUAAUUCAGCACUGGAACUGCCAGAGACACCCUUAUUGCAGAAGACCUCAAAGGCUUCUUUAAGUGCCUGAACAAAAAGUUUGAGAAUGAGGCAGCAAUUCCAAUUUAUGAUGAGCAAAGUGGAAUACAAAUGUAUCGACCGGCAGACCUUGUGAAAGAGUGUAUGGCCCUGAAAACAAUCUGUCACAUAUGCUACAUACUUGUCAUGCAGCUCAAUGAUUUUCCAGACAAACACCUGAAAGGCAAAUAACAAGCAUUAGGUAACAGAUGUCAAUUAUAAGAGCAGGAAAAUCAAGUUACACACCUGUUCCUGCAUGCCAACAACCUCCUUCUUCUCUGGCUGUACAAACAAUAAUGUCAGAAUAUGUAUUCGCAGGAAAAGAAAAAAAAUCUAACAACACAAAAAUGAACAACUAGAUGGCAGGAGCUGAUUGAUAUUUUUAGUUCGGCGGACCAGCAGCAAUAUAAAAGCCAUUUGGCAAGAUCCAAUCGUCAGGUGUAAACAGUACAAGAAUAGUAAUGCAGAAUGGUGUCAUUGUCACUUGAAUGAUAUAUUACUCCCUCCGUCCCAUAGUAUUAAAAUGUUAUUACAACCACAUAUUGGUUGUAGUAACAUAUUACAUUCUUAAACUGUCUAAACAAAUUGAACCAUAAGCACAAAUGACGUGAUGGCUGAAGUUAAAAGACUGCACCUUCUUGUUAUUAGCAGAAUCUUCUGCUUGCUUGACCAAGGCUGUACCCUCAUUCGUAACAUGCUGCAAAGAUGUACAGUUCAAUCACAAUUUAGGACUAAUUGUGAGGAGUAGAAAAGAGAGCUGAGAAUUUAGGACUAUAGACAAUACCGUUUUAAACAUGUUAGAAAUAGGAUCCAGACCGCGGUUGAUUUUUGAGAAGAGUCUGUACAUCCUUGAAAGAUCCUCAACCUGUAGCAAACAAUGAAUGAGUGGCCAAUUCUGUUGAUGAAUAUAAUACACUGUUAAGAAAUGUGUCUCCUUCUGAUCAAACCUUAUCAUCCCGAAGCAAUGCAAAACAUCCAGAAUGCUCCUUCUCCAAAAGUUGUGUUGCAUAAUUGGCAAGCAAUUCAUUUUGCAAUUUCUGUAAAAUAAGGAAACACAAAUUAAAUACAAAUAUAUCACAGACUGUAUGAUUUUGUAUCAUUCCUAAGAUUGGUCACUAAAAUAUUCUGGUUACUAAAUUAUGAAUGAAUAUUCAAAAUACACACAGUACAACAAAAAACAGACCAGAGAAUUUCAAACAGGUUCGCAAAAUUUCAACAUACCUCCAGCAACUUCGGCUCACUAUUAAUAUGCAAGUAGUGACCAACUCGCUCCUUCUCUCUUUUCAGGCACUCUUCAGCCUAAUGAAAGAAGCAUCAGCAAUCCAUUACAUAAAACAAAAAUACCAGGCGUAGGUAAAAACGUAAGCAGUCACAAAGGCCUUAUAUUAAUGGUACCUUUAUCAUGUAAUCAGGACAAGAAUCCUCAACAAUCCAGCUUUGAGCUUUGACAGAGUAGUAAUCUGUAGUAUCCUUAAGCAAGAAAUCUUCGAAGUCAUUCUCGUAACAAUCCAUAUUACCUAACCCAAUCUCAACGAAUAUAUCCAAGACGUUCUUCAGCAAGGCCCUGUCAAUCUGUUCACCUUCACGCUCUUGAUCGAUCUGUUUAAGAAGAUACCACAACACUCAGUUAUAUAUGUACACAAAUCGUUGGAUACAAGUUCAUAGAGAGAUGCAAAGACUCACCAGAGCUAUCACCGCAUCUUUUACCUUCCCUUUGAUCUCUUCAAAUAUCUGUUACCAUGAGUUGACUGAUUAGAACAGAAAAAAACGAAAAAUAUGCAUAUAAGAUAUAACAAGAAUAGGAACUAGAAACUGGCAAUUUACCAGGUCUCGGAAGCAAAUAAGCCCAACAUCUCUAAGUGCAGUAAGGGACCUCCGUGUGAUGAAGUACCGGUCGAGAUAAUGGAAAAAGCGUGAAAGCCACCUAACCAUAACUUUAUGGUUUGACCACCUUUGUACCAGCUCUCUGAGCAUAAACUCAUCAUGCUUCUCUUUUAAUGAUGGCAAGACCUGCAGUAAUUUGAGUACAAGUAAAAAGUGAGCAAACAAAUAAACCAGAGAAUGAUUAUAGAACAAACUGUAAGAUGUGUGGCGUGUGACUCCUGUCACAAAUUCAGAACAUAAUUAUCACACUGGAUUCCUAGUCCCCCUUCAUCCCAUCACAUCACACAUUCACAAACGGGAUUCACAAAUCCAGAACAUAACUAUCACCCUGAAUUCCUAGUCCCCCUUCAUCCCAUCACAUCACACAUUCACAAACGGGAUUCACAAAUCCAGAACAUAACUAUCACCCUGAAUUCCUAGUCCCCCUUCAUCCCAUCACAUCACACAUUCACAAACGGGAUUCACAAAUCCAGAACAUAACUAUCACCCUGAAUUCCUAGUCCCCCUUCAUCCCAUCACAUCACACAUUACAAAAGGGAUUACUAGGAGGAUAUCCAACUAGACAAUAAGGGCAAUGGACAAAGAAAGAUUACAAGUUAGAUAAAUCAACAUGCAUCACCAAAUAACAGACUAAAUAUGGUAGAGAAACUAUACUCAAUGACAAUGACAUUAAAUAUCCAAAAAAUUAUACCAGGAAAUACUAUUAAAAGGACAUCUAAAUUCAGCAGAAUAAAAUCAUUCAGUCACGAAAACAGUCUCUACAGGAUAACAAUUUACUAGAAUAAAUGACUCAAUGUUCAUAUAGCGAGCACGGAAUAGUGACCCUAACAGAGUGAGUACAAUUUUAGUGAUAGACAAGAUAGGUAGACAAAUGUUUCAUGGAUUAGGAUGAUGGACGUAGUUAGAAGAGCAAUAAUUUUUAGCCGGAUAUGCAGUGCAAACAUGAUAAAAGUACUCGUCAUCUCAAGAAUAACCACAGAAAACACUAAGAAUAGUUCUAAAAUGCAGGUUUCACUUUUCCAUCUCCAUGACGAGCUUUGUUUGUAUAGCAGCUUUGGCCCCAGAAAGAUGGAGCACAAAUAAACUGACCUUAAAACACAUGUCAAGUAAAACUCAAUGGUGCAUUAAUGUGAAGGGCUGUUUGACUGGGAUACUGGAAUUCUAAUAGGAAGGUUCGUUUCAAAUUGCGCAGGCACAAAAUAUUUAAACAGGAUCUUAUUAUGUGUGUUAGUAAAUACUAGUAAGAUAGAAUGUAAUCAUUUGCAUCGAGUAAGACAACUCCCCUUCCGCUACACCUCAUUCUCCCCAAAAAAUACACGAAUGCAAACCCAUGGCGGUGCAUGUUAGAAACCAAUACACAAUCAGACUCGUCUUUGACUCGUUGGACCGGACAACCUACAGCACAGGCACGCACACACAAAACAGGGAACAAUCUGAACACACUACACGGCAUGUACGAAUCAGCGGGAGCAGGCGAAUCAGCUCACCGUGGCCCGGAUGUACUCCUCGAAGGCCUCGCGGUACUUGUCAUAGAGCUGCUGCGAAUAGUCGUGCGGGGGCUUCUGCGUGCACAUGUUGUAUAUCGUCCUGCGCGAUAGAGGAGGGACAAGCAAGGGGCGGGGAAACCCUAGAUCAGCGCCGGAUCAGAUCGAAUCGGACCUUGCCCAGGCACGGCCGGAGGGAGGCGGCGAGGGGAGCGACUUACGUGUAGAGCAUCAUGUAGUCCUCGGAGCUGAACUGUGGCUCCGGCUUGCCCUCGAGGAUGUUGAUGAGCUUGGUGAUCCCCCGCUGCAUGAACGCCCACCCAUCCUCCAGAUCGAUCGUCUUGCGGUCCUGCCCGUGUCCCGCCAUCGCCGCCGUAGCCGCCGUCGCCGCCUCCUGACGGCGGCCGCAAACCCUAGGGGAGGAGGCUGGGUUCUGUUGCGCCCGUCGAUGCGUGGGGUUUGGGCAGGGGUGAGAGACGGAGGGUGAGAGACGGGAGCGGACGGCUUAUGAGGAGGCGAUCCCGUCGCAGCCAAGGACGUUUUGAUUGGAGGAAGGUUCGCUUACGCUUCCGCGGGAAGCGUGGGCCGUCCGAUCGGGGGUGGACGGCUGGGAUGUGGUGUUUGCGAGGGGGUCGUGUCGCGCCCCUGUUCUGUUAUCUCGCCCACGGCUGUAGCCUGUAGGUCCGUUCGGCGCAUGAUUGGCGACUGCGUUGAACAUGCUUCGGAAGCUUAACUCGUGUCUGACUGGCCGGUGGGACAUGUUCAGAACCAGAAACUCUACUUUAGUACCUUCAUCAUUGUGUUUUUUUAUUUCUGGAAAUAUUAGCGGAUGUGAAUCUUUAAACUCAAGCCUCGAUGAAACUUUAUCAAGUUUUUAGUAUUUACUCUCUUUCUCUCUUCCAAAAAAUGUUGUUGUAUUCAAUGUGCACCAUUCAAAAGUGACACCGUCAAACAAUUAUAUCUUCAAAACAAAUCGGCAAUAUGUGGCGUCUCAAUCGUAUGGUAUUACUAUAUUUGUGUUUCGUAACUCUAUGUAAUGUGAAUAGACAUGACUGUGAAUAGACAUGACCAUAAAAAAAAAUGCUUUUCUAUAUAAUUUCAAACUAAUCUCUCAUGAGUGAAUAGGUACUUAUGUUAUGCCACACACACGAUCAUGUGAUUGUAGCAUAUGCGAGAAUGAGAAGUGAUGUUUGAUACUUUGUCCCGUUGGCCUUCACAUUAUUGCAUUAUUCAAGUGUGUCGUAUUUAGGUCAAUCAUAGUGAUCGUUUUUUAGUUGUACGUAUGCAAUCUUGCAACGUCUGCCAUAUGCUCAUAAUCUCAAUGUAUCUUAAUUAUAUAGACCAAAUAUUUAAUAAGUGCAUCACAUAUUCAUAAGAUUAGGGCAUUUCUAAUGUGUUAUAUCUUUAAGCUAUAUCAUAUGCACUCUCUCUUCAUUUUUGUAUACCAGGCACUUCAUAAUUUCAUGUCUAUUGUUGACCACUAAUGUUAACAGCAAAAGUGAGUUAUAUGCCACACAAAAACACGUCAUUGGGUGCAAUGAACUUUAUGAUGAUAUAUAACUCAUAUUUUGUUUAUCGUGAUUUUGCGAGAAUAAGUGUGAGUUGUUUUGGUUUUGAUGCUAAGAGUUAUAUCUAAAUUAAGACAUACUCCCACGAUUCAUGAAUAUAAUAUGUUUUGGAUUUUUUAAUACAUACCGAAUCGAGUGAACAAGUACAAUAAAAUGUGUCUAUAUACAUCCUAUUCACAAGAAAAAUAAAAUACCUUAUAGUAUUUGUGAAAGAAUGGAGUAGAGUAACCAUCUCUUUCCUUUUUAAAUAUGGUAUUAUUUUAGAUAUAGUUCAUCCAAAUUAUGAGUAUAAUAUUUAAUUACACUUUGUGUAGAACGAUAUGAAAAGAAGAUACUUCUUUUGAUUCUUAUUAAUUAUCGCGGCUUUCAACUAAAGUCGUGACAAUUAGGGUGUGUUCGGAGUCCCUCUACUCAAGACUCAGCUCGCGGAGCUGGCGGAGCUGCACGCUAAAAUAAUGAAGCUGGAAAAUAGAUGCUCCGUAGAUCCUGUAAUUCCACGGAGCUGAUGGAUAGUCGAACGUGCCUUUAAUAUGGAUCGAUGGGAGUUGUAUUUAAGAAAAAAGACGACUUUCAUCCUUUCUAUAUGCAUAGGGACAAAACUUGACGUGUUGAGCGAAGGUUGGUCAAAGUGGGGGUUGCAUAUAAAGUGCAAAGUAUCGUAGGGGUUGCUUUUGUUAUGUUGAAGACUCGUUUUGUUUUGGGUUGUGUUAUGUUAUGGUAACGUAUUAUGUUAUCACAAACAUCUUUCUCCUCAUUAACAACUUGUCACAUAAACGAUUUUCUCAUAAGAUACCCUGUGUUACUAGCUAAAUUACUCCCAUUGUGACGAGUCUAAGAAACAUUGUCAUCUUGAAGCUCUAGGUCUUUUACCGUUAGUCGUCCUUGUGCUCACCCAAUGUCAGUGGAUCUUGUACUAAAAUCCAAACUCUUUGUCGUAUGUAGUCUUUUCAUUUAUUAUAAAAAGAUUUGAGUCUAUUAUGGAAUUUCAUGGGAAGAACAAAGCAUCCAAAAAUAUAAUAAAAGCUACUUCAAGGCUUCUGGACCACCGAACUAUCACUACCAUCAUCAGAACGAGUCGCUAUCAUUGCACCUUAUCGGAGUCACGCUGACCGUGUAGGUCACAGCCUGGAAAUCUUCAUGUACAUGUAACUAAGGACCAUUGAGCCACAAUUUAUCGUCGUCGAACCCUUGAAUCAAUAUGAAACGUCUGGCAUCAUAUCACCGUCGCUCAUGUACGAUGGGAAACCCUAACCUCACUACCUGUAAGAGUAGAAAUCUGCACUAGAGCUUCAUUGAAUCUGUCCAAAUAAACGAACUCAAGAAGGAUUAGAGCACGGAAGACCCGGUUGAAUCCACGGGCUCACCGGCGGAGUCCGGAGGGGAAGAACUGACCCUAGCCACCGCUAACGAGAUCCCCUUAAAAUUCAUACAUAUUCCUUAAAAAAACAUGACUACGAAAUCAUGUCCUUAUAGGAAACAAACCCAAAUGAAUAGCCAAGAAAAUGGAUCAAAAAUAGAGUCGACUACAGUAUCAACCGGAAAGUGAUUGUCCCAUGGGGUUAGAGCUCACAUUCUAUUGAAAAACAAUUAUAACCGUUUCUUGGUGACAAAGGACAAGAAUGUAUAUGUUUCCUCCGAAAUACAUUAGUGCGAAAGGAAUAGGAGAGGUGUUUUUUGCUUCCGGGAGCAUACAUGCAUGACAAUUUUCGUGCGAUGAUUGUAUUAGAUGUUUUUCGUGUGAAUACGUGCAUAUGCUCCCGUGUGAACAGUAACACGAAAAAAUAUUAGAUGUUUUUCAAAAAAUUCUAUUUUUUUAUAGAUGAUUGUAUUAGUGUCGCGAACAUGCAUGACAAUUUUCGUGCGAUAAGAUGACAUUUUAGGGUAACUUUUGGUAUUUAAUUUGUUUUUCUUGCACAAGCCAAAAUGUUUAACUUUUUGCCUCAAAAUUUACAGGUAGCCCCGUUUGAUUGCAAAGUAUUUUCUAAGUAUUUUAUGAAUACUGCAUCUGAGGAGGACGAGGACACCGACGAUGGCUCCGAUGAGGAGUAUCGUGAUGAGGAGGACACUGACUGAUGUUUCUACCACCUGGGUGUUAGGGCUCCUCUCUGCCUUUUUGGUGUUUCGAUGCCAAAGGGGGAGAGAGCGUAGGAUUUGCUCGUUCGUUCUCUAGUUUUUCUGGUCUGUUGGUUUGAGAAAACUUUGUUGCUUUCGUUCGCUACUUUUGCUUUAUGGUUGAGACUAAGUCGUCAGAUCCUAUCUUAUUGUGAGAUACAUGUUUUAUCUUGCUUAUCUUCUGUCUUAGUAUUAUUAGUAUUAUUAUUUUUUGUUUAACCUGUGAGACAUAGUAUCUUGUGUCAGUAUUCCUUUGCUCACAUGCUUUGCCAUGCUUCAAUAUUCUUCAUCUCUCGUACGUAUGUAGUAAGGGUGGCUUAGUCUGUAUAAUCUAGGGGGAGUGUUCUCUCUGUGGUUAGUUGUUGGUAUGCACAUCCCAGAGGAAACUACCCACCCCUCGUGAUAUCUUUGAAGUUUGCAUAUGCCUGUCUCCAUUUCUUUGUGCAAAUCCAACAUUGUCAUCAAUCCACCAAAAAGGGGGAGAUUGUUAGGGCAUAUUUCUCCUAAGUGGUUUUAGUGAUUGAUGACAAUUGUUGUGCGGACUAAUCUUGUGUCCUGAGCAUUUCAGAAUAUUCUCCUUUAGGCACAAGAUAACUCGACGCCCCUCGGAGGAUCUCGAAGACGGAUUUUGUUCUGCAUUUCUCUUCCUAGUUUGAGUCAUAGGAAAGUCUCCGUACCAAGAGGGGGUCCGCGUCGGAAAGGUUUGGGUGGAAUCUUCACGCACACACCUCAUGCACCCACCCAUAUCUUAGCCUCAAUGGAGCACCAUUGUAUUUUCCUUGCCUAUGUGAAAAGGGGUAAGCGGUAGUACCGAUGUCCCAGCGGUAGUACCGCUCUCAAAGCGGUAGUAAAUUUUUACUACCGCUCCAGGAGCGGUACUACCGUCCGAGGUGCGGUAGUAAACUUUUACUACCGCUCCAGGAGCGGUACUACCGCCCGAAGAACGGUAGUAGUUUUUUUACUACCGCUCCAAGGGCGGUACUACCGCCCUCAGUGCGGCAGUAUUAUUUUACUACCGCACCGACGGACCUUUUCUCGCAUACUUUCCCACGUAGGGGGUGGCGCGGUAGUACCCCCGGUACUACCGUGGUUGGUGAGGAGCUGAGCGGUAGUACCGCUCCCUGGAGCGGCAGUACCGCUCUGGGAAGCGGUAGUACCGCUCGAGGAGCGGCAGUACCGCUCGUGCAUUUAUGUGGUAGGUGGGUAACGGUUGGAUCUGCCCCACCUACUAUAUAAAUGUUGGGGAACAUCGCAUGGGAAACAAAAAAAUUCCUACGCGCACGAAGACCUAUCAUGGUGAUGUCCUUCUACGAGAGGGGAUGUGUGAUCUACGUACCCUUGUAGACCGUACAGCAAAAGCGUUAGUGAACGCGGUUGAUGUAGUGGAACGUCCUCACGUCCCUCGAUCCGCCCCGCGAACUAUCCCGCGAUCAGUCCCACGAUCUAGUGUCGAACGGACGGCACCUCCGCGUUCAGCACACGUACAACUCGACGAUGAUCUCGGCCUUCUUGAUCCAGCAAGAGAGACGGAGAGGUAGAGCUCUGGAGGUUGGUGAUGAUCUCGUCUCAGCAGGGCUCCGCCUGAGCUCCGCAGAAACGCGAUCUAGAGGUAAAACCGUGGAGAUAUGUGGUCGGGCUGUCGUGGCAAAAGUUGUCUCAAAUCAGCCCUAAAACCCCACUAUAUAUAGGAGGAGGAGGGGGGAGCCUUGCCUUGGGGUCCAAGGACUCCCAAGGGGUCAGCCGAGCCAAGGGGGGAAGGUCUCCCCCCCCCAAACCGAGUUGGACUUGGUUUGGUGGGUGGGAGUCCUUCCUUUCCUUCCCACCUCCCCUUUUUUUCUCCUUGAUUUUAUUCCCAAUGCGCAUAGGGCUCUUUUGGGCUGUCCCACCAGCCCACUAAGGGCUGGUGCGCCACCCCCAAGGCCUAUGGGCUUCCCCAGGGUGGGUUGCCCCCCCCCCCGGUGAACUCCCGGAACCCAUUCGUCAUUCCCGGUACAUUUCCGGUAACUCCGAAAACCUUCCGGUAAUCAAAUGAGGUCAUCCUAUAUAUCAAUCUUCGUUUCCGGACCAUUCAGGAAACCCUCGUGACGUCUGUGAUCUCAUCCGGGACUCCGAACAACAUUCGGUAACCAACCAUAUAACUCAAAUACGCAUAAAGCAACGUCGAACCUUAAGUGUGCAGACCCUGCGGGUUCGAGAACUAUGUAGACAUGACCCGAGAGACUCCUCGGUCAAUAUCCAAUAGCGGGACCUGGAUGCCCAUAUUGGAUCCUACAUAUUCUACGAAGAUCUUAUCGUUUGAACCUCAGUGCCAAGGAUUCAUAUAAUCCCGUAUGUCAUUCCCUUUGUCCUUCGGUAUGUUACUUGCCCGAGAUUCUAUCAUCAGUAUCCGCAUACCUAUUUCAAUCUCGUUUACCGGCAAGUCUCUUUACUCGUUCCGUAAUACAAGAUCCCGCAACUUACACUAAGUCACAUUGCUUGCAAGGCUUGUGUGUGAUGUUGUAUUACCGAGUGGGCCCCGAGAUACCUCUCUGUCACACGGAGUGACAAAUCCCAGUCUCGAUCGAUACUAACUUAACGAACACCUUCGGAGAUACCUGUAGAGCAUCUUUAUAGUCACCCAGUUACGUUGUGACGUUUGAUACACACAAAGUAUUCCUUCGGUGUUAGUAAGUUAUAUGAUCUCAUGGUCAUAGGAAUAAAUACUUGACACGCAGAAAACAGUAGCAAUAAAAUGACACGAUCAACAUGCUACGUCUAUUACUUUGGGUCUAGUCCAUCACGUGAUUCUCCUAAUGACGUGAUCCAGUUAUCAAGCAACAACACUUUGUUCAUAAUCAGAAGACACUGAUUAUCGUUGAUCAACUGGCUAGCCAACUAGAGGCUUGCUAGGGACAGUGUUUUGUCUAUGUAUCCACACAUGUAUAUAAGUCUUCAUUCAAUACAAUUAUAGCAUGGAUAAUAAACUAUUAUCUUGAUACAGGAAUUAUAAUAAUAACUAUAUUUAUUAUUGCCUCUAGGGCAUAAUUCCAACAAUAAAUGCAUCUCCUUCUUCCUUGAGCUCACCUUUGACCUCUCUAAGCUCCAUUGUUGCUCCACAAGCUCAUUUUAGCCCGAUCUCUCUCCCUAGCCAAUCAACCUUGUUGAUUUUCUAGGGAUUGCUUGAGAAGGCCUUGAUCCACACUUCCACCAAAGGAUAUUUGGUUCCCCCUACUAAUCCCUUGCGGAUCUUGUUACUCUUGGUUGGUUGAGCAUCCUAGACGGUUGAGGUCACCUCGGAGCCACAUUCCAUUGUGGUGAAGCUCCGUGGUCUUGUUGGGAGCCUCCAAGCUUUGUGUGGAGAUUGCCCCAACCUUGUUUGUAAAGGUUCGGUCACCGCCUUCAAGAGCACCUAUAGUGGAAUCACGGUACCUUGCAUUGUGCGAGGGCGUGAGGAGAAUACGGUGGCCCUAGUGGCUUAUUGGGGAGCAUUGUGCCUCCACACCGCUCCAAUGGAGACAUACUUCCUGUCAAAGGGAAGGAACUUCGGUAACACAUCCUUGUCUUCAUCAGUUCCACUUGUGGUUAUCUCUUACCUUUACUUUGUAUAUGUUGGUGUUGUAGAGUAUAUCCUACGUGCUUCGUUACUCGUUACUAAGUAGCAUCAUAUAGGUUGUCCUCCUAGUGCCAUGUUAGUGAACCUUUAUGAUUGCUACUCCAUAUUUAUUUAGAAAAGCUAAAAAUUGGUAGUUGCCUAUUCACCCCCCCCUCUAGUCAACCAUAUCGAUCCUUUCAAUUGGUAUCAGAGCCUCAUCUCUUUAUUAAGGGUUUCACCACCCGAAGAGUAUGGAAGGCUAAGAGGGAGUUCCCCAUGGGCAACCCGAGGCCAUGGACUUGACUUCGGUCACAAGGGACGACUUGAAUACGGCUAUGGCCGCCCUCAAGACGUCCUUGACGAACGAAGUCAAGACCAUGCUUAAAGAGUUAAUUGAGGGAUUUAAAAGUCCACCCAAACCGGCGUUAGUGGUUAAACCCACCAUCACCGAUUCGGAGGCCAAUUCCUCUAAGGAAGCGGCUAAAGGUAUGCGACCUUCCUCAUCUCACGAAAAGGAUGGGACUGGAACCUAUGCCUCAGUUCCACCUCCCAUGGUCUAUGGAGGACCCGUUCCCACACCGCGUCUUAAUCCUGUUGGUCCUCCUCCUAAGCUUGUUAAGGGUGAUUUUGCUAACUGGGUGUUUUCUAUUAAGUCUCAUUUGAAUCACAGCUCAACAAACUUAUGGAGAAUCAUCGAGCAAGGCUUCUAUCCUCAUGACCCAAGCAACCUCACUCCAAGAGAAGAAGCGGACAAUCAAUAUAAUCACUCCGCAUUGUUCAUCUUACAGUCCGCAGUACCGCCUGAAGAUCUUCCUCACUUGCGCCCCUUCUCUCUGGCCAAGGACUGUUGGGAGCACAUUAUGGUGCUAUACAAGGGAAGCUCUAGCAUUCAACGGUCAAACUAUGAAGUGAUACUUGAUCAGGCUGAUGAGUUUGUAAUGAAGGAAGAUGAGGACCCUCGUGAUCUCUAUCGGAGGGUGACUGCUAUUGUUGUUGCUCUCAAGGAUCAUGGGAGCAAGGAUGUGGAUGACACAUGGGUCAAGCGCAAGUUUCUUAAGGCCAUCAUGCCUUUCAACAAAGCCAUGUCAUCAGUCAUUCGCCAAUGACCAGAUUUCCACUCGUUGUCUUCCAGUGAGGUGUUGGAUGAAUUCAUUGCAAUGUCAAUCAUGAACGAGACCGCUGACAAUGCACUUGCUCGAGUUCGGUCAAAGACAGCUUCACCUAACCUUGCUUUGAAGGCAAAGGCUGCUUCUGAAGAAGAAGAGGAGGAUGAAGAAGAGGAGAGUUGCCCUGAAGACACUAAGUAUGCUUAUCAAGAGCACAUGGCUCUUGCGUCAAGGCAAUUCUGGGGCAACAAGAGGAACUCAAGACCCAACUUCACCAAGAACAACUCAAGUGGGUUCAAACCCAAGCAACGAGUGAGGACAUGCUAUAGCUGUGGUAAUGUGAGCCAUUUCGUGGCGGAAUGUCCCUAUGAGAAGAGGGAAGACAACGGAGGCAAUCUCAUUCGCAAGGACAAAACAAAGUCAUUCCCAAGCAAGAACAACUUUGUCAAGAAACCCCAUCCAAAGGGUAUGGUGGCACUUGAAGAGUACCCCUCCGAUGAUGAUGAUGAUGAUAUGGUGGCAACUGCGACCGUCGCCAUUGCCACUCCUUCUUCCAAGAAGGUGUCCCUCUUCAACGCCCCCAACGAUAAUCACAUCGCCAAGUGCCUCAUGGCUAAAUGUAUCACUCACGUAACACCCAACAUUAAGACCAACAUCACUAGUGCUCCCUCAUUGUUGAAUUGUGUUGAUGAUAGUGAUGUUGUGGAACUUAAUGAGCAUGAUCUUGACAAAUUUAUGUGUACUAUCAAAGGAGAAACCAAGAGGCACUUUGUUGCCCUUUUGGAACAAUUGGGUGAGGCUAAUGACCUCAUCGAGUCUCAUGAGGAGACCAUCUCCGAGAUGCAAGGUCAUAGUCGUGACUAUGCCGAUGAGAUUGCUGAACUUUCUAUUGCUCUAGAAACAGAGCGCACUCUUCGUUUGGCUCCUGAGGAGUCAUACAACGAUGACUGCGCUAAAUUGCAAAAGAAACUAGAUCAUGCUACUGUUCUUACUCGUAUGCUUAAGUCUGAAAAGGAUGCUCUUGGGGUUGACCAUGACAGACUCAAAAUGGAGUUUGACACACUUGACAAGGCUCACAAGGCCUUGAAAGGUAGUCAUUUCUCCCUGAAAGAGUCUCAUGAUCAACUUCAAGCAAAGCUUACCAAGGAAAUCUCUACUUGUCCUCCUUUUGUUUUAAUUGAUAAUGUUUGUACAACUAACCCUUGUUGUGAGCAUGUACAUCUUGUGGAGGAAAAUGCCAAGUUAAAGGCUAAACUUGAGAAGGGCCUUGUGUCAUGCAUCCAAGGCAAGAAGAGCCUGAACGACCUUUUGAGCAAUCAAAAGGGUGUGGUAGGAAAGGAGGGCUUGGACUUACAUCUAAGUCUAAGAGAAAAAGGGGGGGGGGGCAGAUCCCCCGCCCUCAUGGACAUCUUUGUCAAAGAGGGCGAAGGGACUCAGGAGGUGAACAGGAACAAGGUGGAAAAUGGGAGCAUCAAGAAGGGCAAAACCAUCCCUACCAACACGGCCGGCAAACUAAAUCCUUCCUAUGUUUUAUGUCGUGCUGGUGAUGGGCAUGUUUAUGCCAGAUUUAUUGGUUCUUACCAUGAGUACAUUGAAUGUGCUAUUUGGGUUCCUAAGACCCUUGUCUCUAACGUUAAAGGACCCAUUCAAAAAUGGGUACCUAAAACCAAGCCUUGAUCUAUUGCAGGAGUUUGCUUCCGGAGGGGUGUCAUGGUUGCUCGAUAGUGGAGCAACAAAUCAUAUGACCGGAAGCAAGGACUUAGUGGUGGAUGUGCAUCCUUCCCCAUCUAUGCCCACCCAUGUCCAAUUCGCCGAUGCAUCAUUGUCAAAGGUAUUGGGAUUUGGUAAGGUGGUCAUCUCUCAAGAGUUAUCUAUUGAGAAGGUCAUGCUUGUUGAGUCCCUUGCUUAUAAUUUACUUUCAGUUCGUCAACUUGCAAUCAUGGGCUUCUCCACAUUCUUUAAUCUUGAUACUGUGGUCCUUUUGUGGAGCAAGACUCUUAAAGUAGCCUAUGUUGGACAUGUCCAAAAUGGUCUCUAUGUGGUGAACUUUUCAAAGCGACCCACUAAGACUGCGACAUGUCUAAUGGCUAAAGUUGAUGUGGGUUGGCUUUGGCAUCGCCGACUAGCCCAUGUCAAUAUGAGAUCUUUGCAAAGUCUCCUUAAAGGGGACCAUAUUCGUGGACUAACAAAUGUGAGUUUUGCCAAAGAUCGUGCUUGCAGUGCCUGUAUUGAAGGAAAAAUCCAUGAGACUGCUCAUCGUCCAACGACUCUCAUUUACACUAAGAGACCGUUGGAGCUCCUUCAUAUGGAUCUCUUCGAUCCUCCAUCAUUUGAUAGUCUUGGGGGCAGAAAGUACUGCUCGGUGAUUGUUGAUGACUACUCAAGAUACACGUGGGUAUAUUUCUUCAAGAGGAAGAGUGAGACUCAACAGACUGUUAUCAACUUUUCUAAUGAAGCUCAACAUCAACAUGAAGCAAAGAUUUUGAUGAUCAGAAGUGAAAACGGCACCGAGUUCAAGAACUACACCUUGGAUGGGUUUCUAGGUGAUGAGGGAAUAAAACAUCAAUAUUCGGCACCAUAUACCCCUCAACAAAAUGGUGUGGCGGAAAGGAAGAACCGGACACUAAUAGACGCUGCAAGAACUAUGAUGGCGGAAUACAAAUCUCCAUAUAACUUUUGGGACGAAGCCAUCAACACGGCAUGUCAUGCGUAAAAUUGGCUCUAUAUCCGCAAAGGCUUGAACAAGACCCCAUAUGAGAUUCUCACCGGAAACAAACCCAAUCUCAAGUACUUCCGGGUAUUCGGGUGUAAGUGUUUCAUUCUCAAGAAGGUGCACGUUUAGCUAAAUUUGAGUAUAGAGCACAUGAGGGCAUCUUUGUUGGUUAUGCUACAAACUCUCAUGCUUACCGUGUCCUCAACAAGUCCAGCGGACUCAUUGAGGAGACGUGUAACGUGGAGUUUGAUGAAAAUAAUUGCUCCCAAGUGGAGCAAAGUGGUCUAUGUGAUGUAGGUGAUGAAAUUCCUCCCCAAGCCAUAAGAAGAAUGGGGAUUGGUCAAAUACUCCCCUUUGAGGAACCCCUUGUGGCCGAAGGAGAAGGACAAUGCUCUACUCAAGUGGAGCCAUCAUCCUCACAAGUCCCACACGCUUCCGAUGAACAAAGAGAAGACCCUCAACAAGUUGAACAAACUCAAGAUCAAGACCAAGUGCCUAAAGAUGGUGAUGUGCCCCAUGAAGUACAAGCACUCACCCAAGGUUCCGAACCGGCUCAAGAUCAAUAUCAAGUGCAACCACAUGAUCCAGACCAAAUAGAAGCACAAGAUCAAGAUCAAGAGCAACCACAAGAACAAGGACAAACUAGUGAACCUGCUCAAGACGAAGAUCAAGUUGAUCAGGAUGUUGUCUCUCAGUUCCCUUCUGCGGCGCCUAAACGGGGUACUGGUGACAAGGGAAGAUCAAAACGCAAGGGCACACAAAGCAAUCAAGUCGAUGUUCCCCAGUUAUCCAAUGAAGAACUCUUGGAGCGUCGCACAGCCAAGAUUGCGAACAAGCUGAGAGUCAAGUCACAUCUUAUGAAGAAUGUACUUGGUAGUUUGAAAAAGGGAGUAUCCACUCGUCAACAAAUUUGGAAUUAUUGUGAGCAUCACGCGUUUGUUUCGUAUUGUGAACCUCAACAGGUACAGGAAGCGCUCGAUGAUGAGGAUUGUCUUAUGGCCAUGCAUGAAGAACUCAAAAAAUUCGAGCGCAAUCAAGUCUGGGAUUUAGUGCCAAGGCCAACGGAGGAACAUAAUGUCAUCGGGACCAAAUGGAUCUUCAAAAACAAGCAAGAUGCCAAUGGGAUUGUGAUUCGAAACAAGGCAAGAUUGGUGGCUCAAGGCUACUUCCAAGUCGAGGGUAUCGACUACGGUGAAACCUUUGCCCCUGUUGCUCGUUUAGAAUCUAUUCGCAUGAUGCUUGCAUUUGCUUCACAUCAUAAUUUCAAAUUACAACAAAUGGAUGUGAAAAGUGCCUUUCUUAAUGGUCCUUUAAAUGAGUUGGUAUAUGUCAAACACCCCCUGGGAUUCGAACAUCCCAAGCUCCCCAAUCAUGUGUACAAACUUAAUAAGGCACUCUAUGGCCUUAAACAAGCCCCACGUGCGUGGUAUGAGUAUCUUACUGAGUUAUUACAAGAUCGUGGGUUUGAAAUUGGGAAGAUUGAUCCCACUCUUUUUACUAAGAGGGUCAAAGGGGAUUUGUUCAUAUGCCAACUAUAUGUUGAUGACAUCAUUUUUGGUUCUCCUAACGAAUCUUUCAAUGAAGAAUUUGCUGCACUGAUGACCGAGAAAUUUGAGAUGUCUAUGAUGGGUGAGUUGAAGUUCUUCCUCGGGUUCGAGAUCAAACAAGGCUUAGAAGGGACUUUCAUUAAACAAGCCAAGUACACUCAAGACAUGCUCAAAAGGUUUGAGCUAGAGGAUGUCAAGCCGGUCAAGUUUCCCAUGCCAACACGAUGUAAGCUUGACAGUGAUCCCAAUGGUAAAGUAGUGGAUCAAAAGGUAUAUCGCUCCAUGAUUGGAUCCCUCCUUUAUCUUUGUGCAUCUAGACCUGAUAUCAUGUUGAGUGUAGGGAUUUGUGCACGGUUUCAAUCCGCACCAAAGGAGAGUCAUUACAUGGCUGUCAAACGAAUCUUUCAAUAUUUGGCUCAUACCCCAAACUUUGGUCUAUGGUAUCCCAAAGGAGCAAACUUUAACCUAGUAGGCUAUUCUGACUCAAAUUGGGCAAGCGACUGUGUGGAGAGGAAGUCAACCUCUGGAGGAUGCCAAUUCCUUGGUCGUUCACUGGUAAGUUGGUCUUCCAAGAAGCAGAACUGUGCAUCACUAUUCUCCACCGAAGCUGAGUUUGUAGCAGCUGCAAGUUGUUGUGCCCAGUUACUAUGGAUGAGGCAAACUUUAAAGGACUACGGUGUCACCUGUGACAAAGUACCUCUCCUAUGUGACAAUCAAAGUGCUAUCAAGAUUUCUCUCAUUCCAGUUCAACACAACAAGACCAAGCACAUUGAUAUUCGUCAUCACUUCAUUCGUGAACAUAUCAAGCUAGGUGAUAUUGAGAUUCACUUCAUCAACACUGAAGAGCAACUUGCAGAUAUUUUCACUAAGCCCCUAGAUGAAGCAAGGUUCCGGGAGUUAAGGCAUGAGCUAAAUAUCAUUGAUUCAAGUAAUGUGGAUUGAAACUAGGCACCUUGCACCUCACUCUACAUUCCAUCUUGCUCUAGAUGUAGGCAUGGACAUAGGGGGAUUGUUGUUCUCUCAAUGAACUUUCCCUCCCCCAUUAUGCAUAAAUCGAUCAAGUCUUUCACUUUGGCCAUCACCAAAUGGCACUUGUGCUUCAAAGACGAGAUAUGGUCAUGAACCCAAGGAUAAUUCUUCGCGGUGUCAUACCAUUUGUCUCAAACAUUGGUGGCCUAGGCCACCGCCCUUUCCCCUGGAGUCUCUGUGUUGUUUCUCUCUCUUCGGUGUGUCCGUCUUGUUUUCGUGUUUUGGUUUCUCUUGGCUUGAUCAAGUUUUUUCACCACCUAAGGAGUAGAGAGCUCUUUUUGGCCAUUUUUGUGACUUCAUGCACGGUACUACCGCCCCCAGCACGGUAGUAAAAUUUUACUACCGCUGGGGGAGCGGUACUACCGCUCACCAUGCGGUACUACCGCCCCCAGCACGGUACUAAUUUUUUACUACCGUUGUGGGCACUGUACUACCGCACGUAGAGCGGUACUACCGCGAUGACUGCGGUACUAUCGCGCCGCCUCGCCCAGGGGACUAUUUAAAGGGCCGGGAGGCCUUUCUUUUUCCCCAUCUGCCCCGAGUUCUUCUCUUCUCUCUCUCCUCUCCUCAAAAACUGCCCUAGGGCAUCGCCGGAUCUCCCUAUCCGGCCAUCGUCCUCUGAUUCCGACCGGUGGGACUCUUCCCCACGCGCCAUGGACUCCGGUGGUGGUUCCCGUCGUUCCAACCCGUCUCGCACUGCCAGCUCCAAGCGACCUUCCUCUGAUCGUCUGAAGGAUCCAAUGCCCCCAAGCGCUCGUUCAAGAAGCCUGCUCCAAAGAAGCCCUCAGUCAACUGGAACACUAUGCCGCUUGCCGAGUUCCAUCACCGUCGCAAGCUCAACCCAUAUGCCAGCAAUAGGGAGGAGUUCCCUGGCGGUGAACAGUUUUGGACUCGCGAUCAAUUCUUAAUCUAUGAAGACGUGCUCAGAUCAAAGAAGAACUUCUAUGUCCUGGUGCAGUGGAUAGAUCUUGAACAUUUGAGGAAGGACAUGACUUAUUUUGGGGAGGCCCUUGCUAUGGUGGAGCAACUUCAGAUUGCAGACCUCAUCUCGUUCCACCAGGAUUUUGAUAUUUCCAUUGUAGCUCACUUCUUUGCUACAGUGCACUUUCACCAUGAUGACGCCCGCACUAUGACUUGGAUGACAAAUGGCAUGCAACUGACUGCUACGUGGAAAGACUUCAUGGAUCUUCUUUAGGUCAGGGAUGAGGGCCUCACUACUGCUGUUGGCUUGCGCCCCCAUGCCAAGGCCCAAGCCGCUCCCAAGGAGAAGCUGCUCCCGUACCUCUCUGUGAAGCACACCCCCACUGGCGAGGUAUCCUAUGUGAUGAACCCCUUCUUGGAUGUGAUGCACCGGAUCUUUCGCAACACACUGUUUCCCAGGGUUGGCAACAAGGACCAAGUGCACUCCUACCUGGUAGACAUGCUCCUCUUGUGUCAGAAAGCGAGGAAUCGUUAGUGUCAGCCCCUUGAUGUUUCUCAUAUCAUGUGGAUUGAACUCUACUCUGCAAUCAUUAACCGUAAGGUCCCAAUCUACGGUCCAUACCUCUUCUAUUUUAUCAAGGCUACUUGGACCAAGCUAUUCCCCGGGGCUGAGUUUCUUGCUCCUGAUUGGGUCCGCCAUGAGCCCAUCAAGCUGCGUCAGAAAGACAAAUGGGCCAACACCUCCUCUCAUCAGGCUGCCCCCAGGGAUUCUGCUCACGAUCUGCCAGGCGCUGAGGAUGAGGCUCCUCCAGCGGCUCCUAGACAGGGUGAGGGUUCCCACACAGCUGCGGCACCGUCUUGGGCCACACAGCUCACUCACAGGAUGAAGACCCUGUUCUGUAUGCAGGCCAAGGGCCAAUACCGCACACAUGUUGCUCAGAAGGAGAGUCGCCAGCGUGACAAGUUGAUCAUGAGGAAGCUUGACAUACCCUUCUCCGGCGGUUCUGAGACUGAGAUCACCCCCGAGGCGGCAUGGAUGGAGAAGCAUCAUCUUCAGUGGGCUGCAUCUGAGGAGGAGGAGGACACCGACGAUGGCUCCGAUGAAGAGUAUCGUGAUGAGGAGGACGCCGACUGAUGUUUCUACCACCUGGGUGUUAGGGCUCCUCUCUGCCUUUUUGGUGUUUCGAUGCCAAAGGGGGAGAGAGCGUAGGAUUUGCUCGUUCGUUCUCUAGUUUUUCUGGUCUGUUGGUUUGAGAAAACUUUGUUGCUUUCGUUCGCUACUUUUGCUUUAUGGUUGAGACUGAGUCGUCAGAUCCUAUCUUAUUAUGAGAUACAUGUUUUAUCUUGCUUAUCUUCUGUCUUAGUAUUAUUAGUAUUAUUAUUUUUUGUUUAACCUGUGAGACAUAGUAUCUUGUGUCAGUAUUCCUUUGCUCACAUGCUUUGCCAUGCUUCAAUAUUCUUCAUCUCUCGUACGUAUGUAGUAAGGAUGGCUUAGUCUAUAUAAUCUAGGGGGAGUGUUCUCUCUGUGGUUAGUUGUUGGUAUGCACAUACCCAGAGGAAACUACCCACCCCUCGUGAUAUCUUUGAAGUUUGCAUAUGCCUAUCUCCAUUUCUUUGUGCAAAUCCAACAUUGUCAUCAAUCCACCAAAAAGGGGGAGAUUGUUAGGGCAUAUUUCUCCUAAGUGGUUUUAGUGAUUGAUGACAAUUGUUGUGCGGACUAAUCUUGUGUCCUGAGCAUUUCAGAAUAUUCUCCUUUAGGCACAAGAUGACUCGACGCCCCUCGGAGAAUCUCGAAGACGGAUUUUGUUCUGCAUUUCUCUUCCUAGUUUGAGUCAUAGGAAAUUCUUCGUACCAAGAGGGGGUCCGCGUCGGAAAGGUUUGGGUGGAAUCUUCACGCACACACCUCAUGCACCCACCCAUAUCUUAGCCUCAAUGGAGCACCAUUGUAUUUUCCUUGCCUAUGUGAAAAGGGGUAAGCGGUAGUACCGCUGUCCCAGCGGUAGUACCGCUCUCAGAGCGGUAGUAAAUUUUUUACUACCGCUCCAGGAGCGGUACUACCGUCCCAGGUGCGGUAGUAAACUUUUACUACCGCUCCAGGAGCGGUACUACCGCGCGAAGAACGGUAGUAGUUUUUUUACUACCGCUCCAAGGGCGGUACUACUGCCCUCAGUGCGGUAGUAUUAUUUUACUACCGCACCGACAGACCUUUUCUCGCAUACUUUCCCACGUAGGGGGUGGCGCGGUAGUACCCCCCGGUACUACCAUGGUUGGUGAGGAGCUGAGCGGUAGUACCGCUCCCUGGAGCGGCAGUACCGCUCUGGGAAGCGGUAAUACCGCUCGAGGAGUGGCAGUACCGCUCGUGCAUUUAUGUGGUAGGUGGGUAACAGUUGGAUCUGCCCCACCUACUAUAUAAAUGCAUCUCCUUCUUCCUUGAGCUCACCUUUGACCUCUCUAAGCUCCAUUGUUGCUCCACAAGCUCAUUUUAGCCCGAUCUCUCUCCCUAGCCAAUCAACCUUGUUGAUUUUCUAGGGAUUGCUUGAGAAGGCCUUGAUCCACACUUCCACCAAAGGAUAUUUGGUUCCCCCUACUAAUCCCUUGCGAUCUUGUUACUCUUGGGUGGUUGAGCACCCUAGACGGUUGAGGUCACCUCGGAGCCACAUUCCAUUGUGGUGAAGCUCCGUGGUCUUGUUGGGAGCCUCCAAGCUUUGUGUGGAGAUUGCCCCAACCUUGUUUGUAAAGGUUCGGUCGCCGCCUUCAAGAGCACCUAUAGUGGAAUCACGGUACCUUGCAUUGUGCGAGGGCGUGAGGAGAAUACGGUGGCCCUAGUGGCUUAUUGGGGAGCAUUGUGCCUCCACACCGCUCCAACGGAGACGUACUUCCUGUCAAAGGGAAGGAACUUCGGUAACACAUCCUCGUCUUCAUCGGUUCCACUUGUGGUUAUCUCUUACCUUUACUUUGUAUAUGUUGGUGUUGUAGAGUAUCUCCUACGUGCUUCGUUACUCGUUACUAAGUAGCAUCAUAUAGGUUGUCCUCCUAGUGCCAUGUUAGUGAACCUUUAUGAUUGCUACUCCAUAUUUAUUUAGAAAAGCUAAAAAUUGGUAGUUGCCUAUUCACCCCCCUCUAGUCAACCAUAUCGAUCCUUUCAACUACGGUAAUUUCUCUGCAUAAUAAAAAGAACCCCGAACCUCUAUUUUUAAAAUAGAGCAAGCUAAAGAAAUGAGUCCGUCGCUAAAUAUACUCAACAAACUCAUCUCGUCUGGUCAUAGAAAGGAUCCGAUGCAAUCCAUAGCUAUCCUUUAUAGAUCAACUAAGGUUGGGAGCCUCUCUUAAGGACUACUAAUCACUGAACCCAAAACCUUUACAAUUUUGAGGAGAAAAUGAAGAGCCGUGUUGUGGAUGGCCUUUUUCAUAACGUACAAUCUGGAGUUGUUCGUGCAUGUUGUUGUUCUAUGCACGCUGAUGGCAAGGGCUAACCAGCUACCUAGCUGGAUAAACGCAGCAAAAAUAGAGUUUGUACCACAAAAAGCAAUAGUUAACUAGCUAAUGGAUGCACGGCCAACUGCUAACUAGUAAAUUUUACAACAUUUUGUGGCCUAACCAAACAUGUCCUUUGCAUUGUGAAUACUCCAAAUAACAUUGUUAUAUUAAAAUCAUGGUAUUCUGUACCUAUUGGUAAAAUAACUGUAGUUUUCAAUACUUUAGUUUUUUUAGUACUUUGCUAUCAAACAGGGCCUAAGUACACAAAUAAAUUUUGUCUUGAUUUUUUUCUUCAUUUUGAACUUUUUUUGGGCCCCAGGAGCCGAAAUGCAUUUCCGGAAAGGAACUCUCUUUUUCAAUCGAAAUUCGUCAGUGCGAAACGAUCCCCAAAUCCCAUUGUUCCAGAAGACGCUGUAGUUUCCCCUGUUGACAACUUGACAUGCUGCAUACUGCACCGUAGCCGUCAGGUCCAACCGGGCCUGGAGCAAAUUCCACAUGACCCCAGUUUUGACAUCUAUCAUCAUCUCUUUGUAUGAAACCCUUGUGAAGUCACAAUACAAUCUCUUGCCGCUGCUAUAGAAAUUACACAGCCGAGGGUGGUCUGGCAAGAGAUAUAUUCCUUUGAAUUGUCUUUGUGGCGCAAGGAUAUUACAGGAAAAAAAACUAUAUUGACAAUACAAUCGAACAAACUCAACAACAACCGAUAGUACAUUUAGUGUACAACAUUUACCAAGGCCUGCCCUGAUGAACCACCAGUUUUACCUGGGCAGUUCUACCAUAGAUAGGCCAAGGAACUGGAUCUGACGACCUUCAUGUACAAGUGACAACAGAUGUCGGUGCCACCAGCAAGAGCAAUCGACAGCGGCACCAGGGUAUCCAUCUGGAGAAGCCAAUGCGGUGUGCAGUGUGCCAUGGCACAAAAUAUAGCAUCCUUAAAUAGCAGUAGCUUGGUAGGCAUACACACCAGAUGUUACCGAACCCAGCAUGCAGAACCGAUGAUCAAGCCAAGUAUCGGUAGACGUUCGGGUUCUCCUUGUCCCUCUCCAGGUAAUCCCUGGUUAUAAGAUCCUCAAUGCGCUUCUUUAUUGCUUUGAAGUCAGGCUGAAAAGAUAAAACCAGCAUCCAUGAUCAGGUCAAGGAAUCAAAGGAAAUUCUACAUAGAAUGUACUAGCUUCAACGGUCGGUAAAAAUUUCAGCCUGGAAUAUCCAUAGUUCCCAAGAAAGAAAAUAAGAUACUGGGCGCAACCAUGGAUUUCGAGUCGCGCGAUGACUAGUCAUCGACUAGUCUUUGAGUCGCAAAAAAUGUCAACUCAACUUAGUGUCGAGUCGAGUCACGAGUCGCGACUAAUCGCAACUACAGGUUCAACCUUUUCCGAGUUGCUACCCCAUAGCGACUCGCAUGAGUCACGACUCGAAAACCAUGGGCGCGACAUCUGGAUGCAUUGUGUAUGGUUUAAAGUAUACUGUAUGAUUUAAAAUUAAUUACUACUCCCUCCCAUAAUGUAAGACGUUUUUUGACACUAGUGUAUGGGAAGGAGGGAGUGGUAAAUACUGUACCUUGAACAUGCGACCAAGCUGCUCCACACACUCCAUUACUAGUGUCUGGUGACCCAAGACUUUGCGGCUCUUCAUAAUACGAACAAUUGAUGCAUCAAUUGCGUAUCUUCGAUCCUUGUCAACAUCUUCAACAACCUUCUUUUUCUCAUCAACUGGAGGCAGAGGUAUCUGCGUACGGAAAUAAGAAGCAAUGAUUACAUCCAACCGUAACGAAAUAGAGGAAGCAAGAUAAAAACAUACAACCAGAAAUACCUUAAUUCUCCUCAUCUUGUCAGUAAAUUUUGAAUUAAAUUCAAAUACAUCAUUAGGAGAAAUAGACCUGUUACUUGGUUCUUUAGUAAGAAUCUUGUAUUUCGCACAAGAGAGGGAAUGGAGCAACCUCACUACAUCGUCAUCUGACAGGUUCAGUUGCGUUACUAUCUCAGAAUAACUAAGUUUAUCAGCUCCAUUGAACAGUAGCAACAAUGCAGCCUGACAAAGAGACGGAAAGAAAUCAUUAGUCUGUGGCAUCUGAAUAAAAGCAAAUGUACAUGUUUAUGCUUACCUGGUAAGUUGUAACAAUGAGCUCGAUAGUCUUGGCCUCAAACUUUGCGGUGAUAUGGCAGAUUCCCAAGGAAUAUAUCCAUGUAAGUUUUCUAUGCUUAGUUCUUGUUUGAUAAAACUCUUUGAAAACCUCGACACAUCUCACCUAUUUUUUUUGGGGGAGUUGUCAAUGAUAAUAAUCUUACAGAGAGUAAGGCCAUAAAAUAGUUAAGACCCCAGUUUGUAGAAGUGGAAAGCACAAGAAAACAGUAAAUUUACCAUCUCAGCAGGAAGGUUUAUAUCGAAUGAUUUAUAAGUUGGCCAAAAUCCUGUUGUCAGAACAGUGACCGCCAAGUCUAUCCCAGGAUUCAAUUCAGGGUGUGUGCUUAUGAACUCUUCAAACUUAGUUUGAUGAUCUCUUGCAACAGUAAGGUCGGUGACCAUGCCCUCCAUUUUUGAAGUAAAUUGGCCACCACACUGUUGUUUUAGCUUGGUCAGAAUGCUUCUUUCAUGCUCAUCAUUAGCACUCUUGUCA